CCUACGGGAGGCAGCAGUGAGGAAUAUUGGUCAAUGGCCGGGAGCCUGAACCAGCCAAGUCGCGUGAGGGAAGAAGGUACUGCGUAUUGUAAACCUCUUUUGUCAGGGAACAAAGCCGGUGACUAGUCCCCCGUUGAGGGUACCCGAAGAAAAAGCAUCGGCUAACUCCGUGCCAGCAGCCGCGGUAAUACGGAGGAUGCGAGCGUUAUCCGGAUUUAUUGGGUUUAAAGGGUGCGCAGGCGGCCUGUUAAGUCAGCGGUAAAAGUGCGGGGCUCAACCCCGUAGAGCCGUUGAAACUGGCGGGCUGGAGUUGGAGAGAAGUACGUGGAAUGCGUGGUGUAGCGGUGAAAUGCUUAGAUAUGACGAAGAACCCCGAUUGCGAAGGCAGCUUGCUGCAGCGGAACUGACGCUGAUGCUCGAAAGCGCGGGUAUCGAACAGGAUUAGAUACCCCAGUAGUC
rnacentral:rRNA from 1 species